UCCACUUCAUCUAACACAAAGAACGGAGCGGGCCGAAAACUAGAAAAAAAGUUACACUCCAAUUGUCCAUUGGCAUGAACCGUUUGCCUGGAGCCACGCAGUUAUAGCUAAUUCCCUCUAGGAUCAACUUUCAGUCAUAAAAGACCACCACGAGAAAGGUAAAAGCAGAUGUGGAAGACCUGAUCGACAUCUUGAGUCCACAUUCAGCGCCACAGGAUCUGCCAUGGGGACUGACUGUGGGUCGGGCAAGGGUUCUAGCAAAGAGACUAUCGACACAAUCCUGCCUUUGGUUCUUUCCUUCUCCUGACCCCAGGUCAGCCAUUUCCCAAGACCCUCUACAUUACAGGUACCUUCACUACAGAGACCACUGACUGUUCCAUAAAAUCAAAUUAGCACCAGAGAGCAGAACUCCAGAACUGAAGAGAAUCUGGAAACUAAGUGACCAACCCCUUCAUUUUUCAG